rnacentral:misc_RNA from 1 species
AACGGUCUAUACCUGCGGUACCUGCGGAGGGAUCAUUACAUGGCGGAGAAGGUGGGCAACCUGGCCAACAUCCAGGUUGUGAUGCCUUCACGCUCUUCCACCCUUGUCUAUUUGCACCUUCUGUCGUUCCCUCGGCGGGUUUCGACCCGCCGGCGGCAACAUUGAAAAACCCUUUUUGCAGUUAGCAUUCAAUUCUUCUGAUCAAAUAUUAAAUCAUUACAACUUUCAACAACGGAUCUC